UACGUAGGGUGCAAGCGUUGUCCGGAAUUAUUGGGCGUAAAGAGCUCGUAGGCGGUUUGUCGCGUCUGCUGUGAAAACUCGGGGCUUAACCCCGGGCCUGCAGUGGGUACGGGCAGACUAGAGUGCGGUAGGGGAGACUGGAAUUCCUGGUGUAGCGGUGAAAUGCGCAGAUAUCAGGAGGAACACCGGUGGCGAAGGCGGCUCACUGGUCCGGUACUGACGCUGAGGUGCGAAGGCGUGGGGAGCAAACAGG
rnacentral:rRNA from 1 species